UACGUAGGGGGGCAAGCGUUGUCCGGAAUCAUUGGGCGUAAAGAGCGCGUAGGCGGCCCUGUAAGUCCGCUGUGAAAGUCAAGGGCUCAACCCUUGGAUGCCGGUGGAUACUGCAGGGCUAGAGUCCGGAAGAGGCGAGUGGAAUUCCUGGUGUAGCGGUGAAAUGCGCAGAUAUCAGGAGGAACACCGAUGGCGAAGGCAGCUCGCUGGGACGGUACUGACGCUGAGGCGCGAAAGCGUGGGGAGCGAACAGG
rnacentral:rRNA from 1 species